rnacentral:lncRNA from 1 species
AUUUGGGUUUGUAUCAUGAAGUGGUAGCGGAAAAUGAUCGUGAAAUUCAGUUAAAAUUUCAAUUUAAAAAUAAUCAAUUAAAAUUCAAUUAAGUCGUCUAAUUAAGGUAAUUAAAAUUAAUUAUCAAAUUUAUUCGAUUAAAAAUUAAUAUAAUCAAAUAAUUAAGUUAAUUAAAAUUAGUUAGCAAAAUUAUCUAAUUAAUCGACAUUUUAAUUAAUUAGUUGACUUAAAAAGAAAUAAAUGACAAUAUCGAAUAUUAACUAAUCGAAUUGAAUCG